GUACUCUUUUUGUGCCCAGUGUAGACUAGAUGUGGAUGAUACAAAUAUAAAAUGUGGUUUCUGCCCUCAGAGAACUCACAAGCUACUAGGGGAGAAAGUCUCAGAUAAAAGCACGGGAUGGAAAGGAAGCUCAAAGAAGCCAAGAAGAUACUCAUGGAUGAAAUGCUUUGCACAUAUGGGAUGGAAAAUUGUGCUGUAUUAAGUCAAAAAGCAGCUUCUGAAGAAUGUAUUAUGGCUGCAGCUUCACAGGGUCAACAUGAUAGCCACAAAUGGAAGGGCAGCAGGGAAGAAAGGAAAGAGGAAAAGGAAGAAAGCUUGUUUUCCUUAUAG
rnacentral:lncRNA from 1 species